CAUCCUCGUCUCCCUCCUCCCCUUCACUUCCCCUCGCCGCGAAACCCUUCCAGCUGUGUGCUCUCUCCUCCCUUCGAAUUGCUUCAAUCUGCGCUUACAUACAUGCCGUGACAUCCCUGUGCCGCAUACAAGCAACAUGAGAGCGGGGAGCCUCUGAUAGUAGAUUGAAGAGUGAGCGCAGGUAUUCGAGGAUAGCGUUUUGAAGGUCGAAGUGAUUCGUAGAUUGCGAUGACAACAAGUUUACCGUGACGAUUUGAAUUAGCAAUAGCGUUGCUCGAGUACAUCUAUCGGUAUAGGUAUGUACUAAGAUUCGAUGUGCAGAUUCAUAAUCUUUGCUUUAGGCGGAUUGUUUAGUAAGCCAACAAUCAAAUUUGGAGUUGAUUGUUUGUGUACUUAAAUAUCACGGUGUUGAUGUUAGUCGGUGAAAUAUAGAGUCUGGAAAUAAUUGUGAUCUACACAUGAAAAGUUUGAUUGAUCGAGUGCAACGAUGUAGUAGUGAACAAUUGUGUUUAUAUAGCACAAUAUUUAGAUAAUAUU